UUCACAAUUAGCUUCUUACUGUUACCAGUUUCUCUGGUGAAUUUAACACUAACUGUAAAAGAAAGAACCAUUUUUUCCAGCAAGAUUUCUGUAUGUCUUUCUUUUCUGUAUUUCUGUCAUUUUGUACAGUUUGAAUUGGGUCAAACUGUAUUUGGUACAAUUGAUGCCAGUGCUAACAAAUUACCAGUCAGAGAUAACCAUCUGCUUAAGUCAGUUUCCCUUUUACACCAACCACAGAGACAGCACUGAGUUCUACCUGCUCAGGCAGCCUCUUGCUGAGUAAAACUGCAUUUUGUUAGAAUUUGUACUAUUUUAGUGUUGUAGCUCAUAUGGGAUAAUGUAAUCAGUAAUCCAGAUCAGGAUCACAGUGGAAACCUAUCCCAGGAACACCAGGAGUGAGAUCUGAAUACACGAUGAACAGGAUCCAUCACAGAGCACCAUGUACACACACAUUCACACACUCAUUCCUGAGCUCAGGAUCAAACCUGGCAACCUGGAGCUGUGAGGCUGCAACGCUACCUAUUGCACCCUGCUGUGUUACAGUAGGCAGUUAAUUGUGAAAAGAGUAAAGAUCAUUUUAAUCUAUUUUAUUAAACCAGACAUGAUAUUUA